rnacentral:rRNA from 1 species
CAGAUUGCAGGCUGCAACUCGCCUGCAUGAAGUCGGAAUUGCUAGUAAUCGUAGGUCAGCAUACUACGGUGAAUACGUUCCCGGGCCUUGUACACACCGCCCGUCAAACCAUGAGAGUUGGCAACACCCGAAGUCGGUAGUCUAACCGCAAGGAGGACGCCGCCGAAGGUGGGGUUGAUGAUUAGGGUUAAGUCGUAACAAGGUAAC